CCCCGGCCGGGUGCCGGAGCCCUGUGGCGUGCGAGGCCGGUGCGGACGCCUUGAACUACCUGUCAUUUACUCCAGUGUCCAUAGUGAUGCUACAGGACAGAGUGGAAUGGAUAAAAACAUUGGCGAGCAACUCAAUAAAGCUUAUGAAGCCUUUCGGCAGGCAUGCAUGGAUAGAGAUUCUGCAGUAAAAGAACUACAGCAAAAGAAAGUGCUCUGAAGAACUAAAACACAGGGAUAUAUUAAUAGAUGAAAUUUAAGGAUUUUAUUUGCUAUCUUUUAAAAAAAAACCAUUGUGGAGUUCUCUUAUGGCAUGGUGGGUUAGGGAUCCAGAGUUAUCACAGCAGUACUGCAGUGGUGUGGGUGGGUUCUAUCCUUGCCCUGGGAACUUUUUCAUGCCGUGGGUGUGGCCAGUAAAUAUGGAAGAAGAAUUCUUUUUUUUUUGUCUUUUUAGGGCCACACCUGAAACAUAUGAAAGUUCCUAGGCUAGGAGUUGAAUCAGAGCUGCUGCUGCUGACCUAUGCUACAGCCUCAGCAAUGUGGGAUCCAAGCUGUGUCUGUGACCUAUGCUGCAGUUUACAGUAAUGCUGGAUCCUAAACCCACUGAGUGAGGCCAGUGCAUCUUUGUGGAUACUUGUCAGGUUCUUAACCUGCUAAGCCUCAUGGGAACUCCAAGGAAAAAUUCAUUUUAAGGUGAUUGUAUUGAGGAAAGAUAAGAAUGUUCUCUUCCAUAAAUAAUUUUUAAAUAAAAUGACAAAUGGAAAGUCAGAAGUGUCACUGUCUCAGCUAGUUUUAUUUUUACAUUUUUAUUUGGCUGACAGGAAGCCUGUACAAAUCUUAAAAUAUCCUGAAACUAAGUUUUUAUUAAUUUAUAAUAGUCUUCCAUUAUUUAACUGUAACAGUUAAAAAUAAAGUGUUUCAGUGAAAUCCUUAAUGACUUACCAGAAGUUUAGCUUUUUAAAGUUAUUCCUGUACAUAUAAAAUGUCUAUUUAGUAAUUUCAGUUUCAAAAGAAAGUAAAUUGUAGGAAAGCUAUACCCAGACAAAAAUUAUUUGGUCUAGUUCCCGGGCACAUGUCUGUUAUUUGUCCAUGAUGAGAUUUUUCUCUGCUCUACAGCAAAAUGAGAAAAAUGAAAAUAAUGAGGUUUUUUUUUUUUAGUAAUGAACUUCUUAUAAUGCUAAAUUUAUCCGAUUUAAAAUUCUGUCCUUGGAGUUACUGGUUACUCAGCAGGUUAAGGAUCUGCUGUUGCCACUGCUGUGACACAUGUUCCAUCCCAGGCCAAGGAACUUUGCAUGCCUCAGGUACAACCAAAAAAAAUUUUUAUUUAAAAAUAAAAUUCUCUCCCUUGUCCUAAUAUUAUUCCCAUGUUUACAUACUGUUAGAAUAAAGAGCAAAAUUUUAUUAACAUAUACAGUCAAAUGAUAAUCUUGGAGUUUUUGUUUGCUUGUUCAAUAUCAUUACUUUGUGUUUUGGAAGUCCUCGAUACCACUUACACAUUCUAUGAUUCUCUAGAAGGACUCAACAGGACUUAGUAUACUGUCAUACUCAUAACUAAGAUAUAUUACAGUGACAUGGUAAAGAUACAGAGCUAGAUCAUUAAUGUAAAAGAUGCCAGAUGGAUCUAAAUAGAUCCAUGUUCAGAUUUCCUAUACUCUUUCCCUCCUGUGAAGGGUCACACAAUGCACCCCUUCUUCAGCUUCACUCAAUAGGAGUUCCUGUCAUGGCUCAGUGGAAAUGAAUCUGACUAGCAUCCAUGAGGAUGUGGGUUAGAUCCCUGACCUUGAAAAGUGUGUUAAAGAUCCGGUGUUGCCAUGAGUUUUGGUAUAGAUCACAGACACGGUUCAGAUCUGGUGUUCCUGUGGCUGUGGUGCAGGCCAGUGGCUACAGCUCCAAUUUGACCCCAUUUCUGGGAACUUCCAUAUGCCACGGGUGCAGCCCUAAAAAGACAAAAAAAAAAAAAUCAUUAAAAAAAACUGCACUCAACAAACAAAAAGUGUUUUGGCAUGGGGGACCCUAUUUGAGACUCAAGAGUUUGGGAUUUUUAUUAAGGGUUGGUUACAUAGGCACCUUCUGUCAACAAAAAUUUUAGAUUCUCAGAAGGAAAGUAAUUAUUCACCAUAAAUCUCACUGUGUAGUCUAAGUAGGCUGGCACAGUACUUAGAAAUUACCACUUAGGAAAUGUUUUUGAAUAUUAAUUUUCAGCCAGUGGUAAGCAACUAAAAAUGUCUGUAAUUUAAUCUCUUUUUGGCGUGGAAAAAACCUUUACUGACAGCAACAAUUAUCCUAAAGAAGGGAAAGGGAAGUAUUUUUUGUAUAUCUCAAGAAUAGGCGAAGAAAGGAGCUCCCGUUGUAUAUCCAGGCUUUACCAUGAAUUUUAGGUGGUGCCAGACUUGCCGAUUAUUUUUUUCAGCAACUUUCUUUAUAUAGAAGUGGAAGAAAGCGUUGGCGAAAUCCAAGAUUAAGAGAUUAUAGAGUAGUUGAGAGUAGAAGAAUUUCUGGUUAGGUAGCCAGAAAGUAAUACAAAAGCUAUUGAAAUUAUGUGCUUUGAGAUAUAAGCUAAAAUCAGAUAAAAGUAGUGUAGGAGUCUAAUAGAUUAAGAAUAAAAAGAGUAUGUAUGGCUGAAGUGUUCAUGAAGUGAGAGAAGCACAUACAGAAAAGCAGAAGAAUGUGAGAAUUCAAAAGAAUGGUUAUUGUCAAUGAGUAAAUAUUAAUGUUUAGGAUCUUCUGUCUUCAUAAUGAGUCGUGAAAGUGGGUAGCUGGAAUGAGAUUGAAAAAUUCCAGAAACUCUUUUUAACACUAGAGCAGUUCUCCUAGAAUGGUGGAAGAGCAUUUAGAGAGACUGUUGUGAAAGGAAGAGCAAAAUUCUUGAAUGUGAGGAAAUGACUAGUAUCUUGGGAGAAAACUGUUUUGAGGAAUGACUGUUAUAAUUGAAUUCCUUGUGGAUAGCCUUUUGCUUAAGUUUAAAGGAGUAAUGGCCCAGAUUGCAAUGAUGAAACAAUAUCAUACUUAUCUUUUUGUUCUACCGCAUCUAAUUCCAUCACCCAUUCCUUAGUAGGUUGAUAGGACACUAGAGAGCUUCAUAUGAGGGUAUUUCAGAGAUAUCUGUAUCCUCAGAAGACAACAUAGUUAUUCCCAUUUUAAUGUGAGAUGCCGGGCUUGGUGAAAUUCAGACUUACUAGCCGUUAUAUUACUUAUAGUACAAUGAAAAAAGAGUUCUAACACCUGAUCUUAUUCAUUAUAUUUUUUAAAGUCAACUUUUUUCUGAAAUAUUUUUGUGAGAAUAAUGCAUACUUUUUGACGUUUUUAAAAUUUUAUGGAACAUUAUUGUUUUUUAAAUUAUAGAAUUAUCAAAUGUACUAAGUGUAAAUCACUAAUUUGUCCUCAUCUAUCUACUCCCAGAAAUGAGGUUGAACUUUGAAAAGUUCAAUCAAACUAGGUAUUCCUCAUUUAGAAUCUUUAGUAAUAAGAUGACAUAUACAAGUUAUCAGACAUCUUGUGUGAAGAUAAAUACAAAUACCAUUUCUACCACUUCCAAGAUUUUCAGCCUGGAUGAAUGGAAGAUUGAUGAUGCAACCACAGAAAUAGAGGAUGCUGAUUUUGGUAAAGGAAGUUAUUAUUUGAUUUGAUUUAGAUAUUUUGAUUUCAAGUAUUUAGAAGAUCACUGGGGAAGAUGUUCAGCAGGCUAUUGAAUUAUGGAUCUUUGAAGUAAAGUACUAGUUGGAAAUACAAAUUUGGGAGUCAUCUCUGUAGAGAUGAUACUUGGAGUGAUAGGAAAAGGAGUACCAAG
rnacentral:lncRNA from 9 species